CCGCCGCUCCCAGCAGCGGCGUCAUCCUCCGCACCUCCCCUCGACGACCCCCUCCCCACCUUCAUCGCCGGGCACCACCACACUAAGAUCCGACCUUUCCUUCCUUGGCUCACCCGAACCACCCAAGAAAGAAUCAACAGCAGCAGCAGCGGCGGCAGCAAGAAACAGUCUCGACGACGAGAGCAGAAGCGGAGGAGGAGGAGGAGGAAGCUGCGAGAUAUACUGGUGCUCGAAAACUAGGGGCAAGGCGGGGGCGCAGCAGCAAAUCCAUGGACAGCGACGUGAAUACCGCCGCUGGGUUUGCGAC
rnacentral:lncRNA from 1 species